AGGCUUUGAAGCACGUACGCCAGUAUGUGUGGAGCCGUCCUUGAAAUACCACCCUUGUAGUGUUGAUGUUCUAACGUCGACCCCUUAUCGGGGUUGCGGACAGUGCCUGGUGGGUAGUUUGACUGGGCGGUCUCCUCCCAAAGAGUAACGGAGGAGCACGAAGGUGGGCUAAUCACGGUUGGACAUCGUGAGGUUAGUGCAAUGGCAUAAGCCCGCU
rnacentral:rRNA from 1 species